rnacentral:lncRNA from 1 species
UUUCAUCAAGCAAAAGCAGCAAGGGUUUAGGAAGAGAGAAACAGGUUCAAACUCUCUAUCCUUUUCAAUACUCAACGGUGAUGAGAAAGAGAGGAAUUAGAGAUAGAAAAGCCAAAUAAGCUCAGAAAAUGACAGAAGAAACGGAGAAUUUUAGAGGCAAUUUCAGAUCCGAGAAGGGUUUUUGAGAUUUUAGAGAUUAAAUGAGAUUCAGAGUCGGUUCAUAUCCAGAUGCAAUUUCAGAGGGAAUUUCUCAAAGGCCCGUUGGUUUCAGAGGAAAGGCAGUGAUCUUAGCGAUUCUUCAAAGGCCGUGGUCGUUUUCUAGAGGACCGAAAAGUAAAUAUUUCAUAUCUAACAGUUUUUGGGGUAAUUUUAGAAUUUUUUAUGAAUUUUCA